CUAGCAUUGAAAGUGGAAUACCAUAAACAAUGUUAUGAAAAGUACAUGUGUAAAAGGUUUCCACAACUUGUUUUCCAUAGACCAAAGUUAUGAAACAAGAGUGAAAUUGUUUAUGCAGAGUGCCUCAGUCAAGAAAAAGUUUUAUGGAUGAUGACAUAGAAACAUCUCAGAGUUCACACAAGAGUCUGAUUCUGAUGUUGAGAUUGUAACGAAAACAUCAACAUACACAAGUGC